ensembl:lncRNA novel transcript
CUGGUGUGUUAGUUUGGAUUAAUCAUCCUCCUCUAAUUGAGAUUUCUAAUCAAACUGAGAAUACACAUAAUCAGCCAGAUCAAAAUAUCGGCUUCAGUAGUGGUGAAGCUGGCUUGGAGAGCAUGUCUUGGGUGCAAAUGGAAAAAGGGUUUUCCUACCCUUCACAUCUGCAUCCCCCCAUGGCAAGUAGCUGGAGAUCUGCAGGCCUCCCUCCAGUGGUUCUCUGAACUCCAGGCUUCAAGCUCAAGAGAGAUGGGAAUGCAGUAGAAAGAAACAGAGAGAAAUGGACCACUCAACCUAUUAACCUCAGUUAAUAGGAGUCUCAUGGCCAUCAAACUUUCACCAACAGAAGCACCCUCUCCUGCCCUGGGAGGAGCAUGUAAAAGGGUUAUCAUAAAGACCCCAAAGGGAUAUCUCAAUACUAUCCACUCUGGAAGUGGAGGAUUCAUGCCCCUAUGGGAAAGAGUUCCCAGGUGAUAUUGAUGCAGCUAUUCUGAAGAAUUACACUUGGAGAACCACGGCUCUAACCUAGCCUCUUCAAUUGAAGAAGCAGACACCUCUGGUGCCCAUGUCACAUUCCCGAAGGCCCAUUUAAGUUCUGUAUGUGCUCAAAGUCCCCUUGCCUCAAGCACAUGCCAUGCAUCUAUCUGCCCUCUGUUCCAGAGCACCCUCACCUAUGCACAGCUCUGAAGUGCAAAGGAGUUAAGACCACUGGGCCUCCCAUGCUUCAGAUGCACCAAUCUGGGAGGAUUCUGCAUGCUUUGUAUGAGGUCCCAGCAUUGUUGAGCCCCAGUUGCCCACAGCAGCAAGCUCUAUAACACACUGCCAGAUUUGCCUUUCUUCUUCCCGUCUCACCCUUCCUAUUCUCUUGCUUUUAUUUCCUAAGAUCACCUCCUAAAUAAACUACUUGCAUCCAA